rnacentral:tRNA from 1 species
GGGGGUAUAGCUCAAGUGGUAGAGUACAUGCUUAGCAUACAUGAGGUCCUGGGUUCAAUCCCCAGUACUGCCU